rnacentral:rRNA from 1 species
UAGGGAAUAUUGGUCAAUGGGUGGAAGCCUGAACCAGCCAUGCCGCGUGCAGGAAGACGGCCUUCUGGGUUGUAAACUGCUUUUAUCUGGGGAUAAAAUACCCUUGCGAGGGAGACUGAAGGUACCAGAUGAAUAAGCCACGGCUAACUACGUGCCAGCAGCCGCGGUAAUACGUAGGUGGCAAGCGUUGUCCGGAUUCAUUGGGUUUAAAGGGUGCGUAGGCGGCCAUUUAAGUCAGUGCUGAAAUAUCACAGCUUAACUGUGAGGGUGGCAUUGAUACUGGAUGGCUUGAGUGCUAGCGAGGCAGGCGGAAUUGACGGUGUAGCGGUGAAAUGCAUAGAUAUCGUCAAGAACACCGAUAGUGUAGACAGCUUGCCAGGGAGCAACUGACGCUGAGGCACGAAAGUGUGGGGAUCAAACAGG